GACGAACGCUGGCGGCGUGCUUAACACAUGCAAGUCGAACGGAAAGGCCUCUUUUGGGGGGUACUCGGGUGGCGAACGGGUGAGUAACACGUGAGUAACCUGCCCUUCACUUUGGGAUAACUUCUGGAACCUGGGGCUAAUACCGGAUAGGAGCUCCUUCUGCAUGGUGGGGGUUGGAGAGUUUCGGCGGUUGGGGAUGGACUCGCGGCUUAUCAGCUUGUUGGUGGGGUAGUGGCUUACCAAGGCUUUGACGGGUAGCCGGCCUGAGAGGGUGACCGGCAACAUUGAGACUGGGAUACGGCCCAGACUCAUACGGGUGGGAGCAGUGGGGAAUAUUGCACAAUGGGUGGAAGCCUGAUGCAGCAACGCCGUGUGCGGGAGGACGGCCUUCGGGUUGUAAACCGCAUUCGCUCAUGCCGAAGCUUUGUGUGACGGUAGUGGGUAAAGAAGCACCGGCUAACUACGUG
rnacentral:rRNA from 1 species